rnacentral:misc_RNA from 1 species
GAUGAAGAACGUAGCGAAAUGCGAUACGUAAUGUGAAUUGCAGAAUUCAGUGAAUCAUCGAGUCUUUGAACGCACAUUGCGCCCCCUGGUAUUCCGGGGGGCAUGCCUGUCCGAGCGUCAUUGCUGCCCUCAAGCCCGGCUUGUGUGUUGGGUCUCGUCCCCCUUCCCGGGGGGACGGGCCCGAAAGGCAGCGGCGGCACCGCGUCCGGUCCUCGAGCGUAUGGGGCUUUGUCACCCGCUCUGUAGGCCCGGCCGGCGCUUGCCGAUCAACCAAACUUUUUUCCAGGUUGACCUCGGAUCAGGUAGGGAUACCCGCUGAACUUAAGCAUAUCAAUAAGCGGAGGA